GCGGACGUGGCGGAAUGGUAGACGCCAGAGACUUAAAAUCUCUUGUCCUCCGGGGCGUGCGGGUUCGAGUCCCGCCGUCCGCACCA
rnacentral:tRNA from 1 species